UACAUUGACUGGAAGCAGCCAGGAUGCAGUCAGUUAGAUUAAUCAGAAGGAAAUACAUUGGGGGUUGCUGGAAGACUCUUUGGAAGAACGCUUGGAAAAGACUGGGGGUUUGCUUUCUGAUUCUGAAAAGGCAGAAGGAGAAACUAAAGAGUCGGAGUGGGAGGAAAAUAAGAAAAGAUCAGCAG